rnacentral:rRNA from 1 species
CUACGGGGUGCACCAGUGAGGAAUAUUGCACAAUGGGGGGAACCCUGAUGCAGCAACGCCGCGUGGAGGAUGACGCAUUUCGGUGUGUAAACUCCUUUUAUAUGUCAAGAAAAUGACGGUAGCAUAUGAAUAAGCACCGGCUAACUCCGUGCCAGCAGCCGCGGUAAUACGGAGGGUGCAAGCGUUACGCGGAAUCACUGGGCGUAAAGGACGCGUAGGCGGGUUGGAAAGUCAGGUGUGAAAUCCUACAGCUUAACUGUAGAACUGCACUUGAAACUUCUAAUCUAGAGUAUGGGAGGGGGAGAUGGAAUUAGUGGUGUAGGGGUAAAAUCCGUAGAUAUCACUAGGAAUACCUAAAGCGAAGGCGAUCUCCUGGAACAUUACUGACGCUAAGGCGUGAAAGCAUGGGGAGCAAACAGGAUUAGAUACCCGAGUAGUC